UCAUGAUAAGCACAAACUAACACCAAUCAUUUGACUCUUAUCCUGAUAGAAACCCAAAAAUGUAACAUUGCCUUACAGUACAACAGUUUCGCUAAAAGACAAACGCACAAACACAUCGUAUAAGCAAGUCUUAAAACUCACACUGAAUGGAAAAUAACAAGACGGUUCUGGACAACCUAAAUAAGUUAAGGGGUUCGCUAUUCGGACAACACGACAGGACAUGCCACGUGAAACAGCCGAGACACAGUGAGGAGUUCCUCCAGAUAACGGUCUGGGCACGGAGCAGCUUAUUGCCACAGACAGUUCAACCACCUCUGAUGGGCCAGAGAGCAAUCAAUGGACGAGAAUAGUACCUGUGUUAUCAGGAAAAGGAAGGUCCAAACUGAUGUCACUGGCAUGAUGGCAUACAUGGAUAUAAAAAAAUAACUAUGAUUUCUUCAUGCAAGAAGAACAAACUGCAACAUCAGCAAGAAUAAGAAAUCAUGACACAUGGAUAAAAGCUGGAAUGGAUUUAGAGCAGCAUGGAUGUAGGCGUCUCCAAGUUAU